AUGCCCUACUGCGCAGCACAUAUACUAAAAUUGGAACGAUACAGAGAAGAUUAGCAUGGCCUUAUAUAUUAGAGAUACACAAAUUUAUGAAAGAAAUACUGUAAGU